AUGAACGCUAGCUACAGGCUUAACACCUGCAAGUCGAGGGGCAGCAUGACCUAGCAAUAGGUUGAUGGCGACCGGCGCACGGGUGAGUAACACGUAUCCAACCUGCCGAUUAUUCCGGGAUAGCCUUUCGAAAGAAAGAUUAAUACUGGAUAGCAUAACGAGAAGGCAUCUUCUUGUUAUUAAAGAAUUUCGAUAAUCGAUGGGGAUGCGUUCCAUUAGUUUGUUGGCGGGGUAACGGCCCACCAAGACAUCGAUGGAUAGGGGUUCUGAGAGGAAGGUCCCCCACAUUGGAACUGAGACACGGUCCAAACUCCUACGGGAGGCAGCAGUGAGGAAUAUUGGUCAAUGGACGAGAGUCUGAACCAGCCAAGUAGCGUGAAGGAGGACUGCCCUAUGGGUUGUAAACUUCUUUUAUAUGGGAAUAAAGUGGGCCACGUGUGGCUUUUUGUAUGUACCAUACGAAUAAGGAUCGGCUAACUCCGUG
rnacentral:rRNA from 1 species